AUAAUUAAUUAAUUUAGCAAAGAGUGAGUGAGGGUAGUAGUAGUAGAAGAAGUGGAAUUGAUCAAAGGAAAAAGGAAAAAAUGCAUUCAUAUGGAUACAGAGCGAAUGCUGUGUUAACCUUCAGCUUAACCCUUCUUGCCGUUAUGUGCGCCAUGGCUUCUCUCUCCGACAACCGCAAUUCCCCCUCUCCCUCUGCCCAUGUUCAGGUCUUGAACAUUAAUUGGUUUCAGAAGCAUCCCAAUGGCGGCGACGAGGUAAUUCUAAUAAAAGUUACAUUUUUUUAUGUUUUAUAAUUGCAAGCUCUUGGGAUUCAGAAUUGGGCUCCCUGUGGGAUAAAAUUUAAUAUAUUAUAUAUUAAAAAAAUGCAAUUUGAGCAUUCAUAGACAUUGUCGGAAAAUCACGUGGAAAAGCAUGCUUUCAUUGAUAAACUUUUCUUUCCUUGAA